rnacentral:rRNA from 1 species
AGAGUUUGAUCCUGGCUCAGGAUGAACGCUAGCUACAGGCUUAACACAUGCAAGUCGAGGGCAGCAUGGCGAUUGCUUGCAAUUGUCGAUGGCGACCGGCGCACGGGUGAGUAACGCGUAUCCAACCUUCCCCUUAGUAGGGCAUAGCCCGGCGAAAGUCGGAUUAAUACCCUAUGUUUUUCCGAUGAGGACAUCUGAGCUGGAAUAAAGAUUUAUCGCUAAGGGAUGGGGAUGCGUCUGAUUAGGUAGUAGGCGGGGUAACGGCCCACCUAGCCUACGAUCAGUAGGGGUUCUGAGAGGAAGGUCCCCCCACACUGGUACUGAGACACGGACCAGACUCCUACGGGAGGCAGCAGUGAGGAAUAUUGGUCAAUGGGCGAGAGCCUGAACCAGCCAAGUAGCCGUGCAGGACGACUGCCCUAUGGGUUGUAAACUGCUUUUAUGCGGGGAUAAAGUGAGGGACGUGUCCCUUUUUGUAGGUACCGCAUGAAUAAGGACCGGCUAAUUCCGUGCCAGCAGCCGC